GACGAACGCUGGCGGCGUGCUUAACACAUGCGAGUCGAACGGAAAGGCCCUGCUUGCCGGGUACUCGAGUGGCGAACGGGUGAGUAACACGUGGGUGAUCUGCCCUGCACUUCGGGAUAAGCCUGGGAAACUGGGUCUAAUACCGGAUAGGAGCCAUUUUUAGUGUGAUGGUUGGAAAGUUUUUUCGGUGUAGGAUGAGCUCGCGGCCUAUCAGCUUGUUGGUGGGGUAAUGGCCUACCAAGGCGGCGACGGGUAGCCGGCCUGAGAGGGUGGACGGCCACAUUGGGACUGAGCUACGGCCCAGACUCCUACGGGAGGCAGCAGUGGGGAAUAUUGCACAAUGGGCGCAAGCCUGAUGCAGCGACGCCGCGUGGGGGAUGACGGCCUUCGGGUUGUAAACUCCUUUCGCUAGGGACGAAGCUUUUUGUGACGGUACCUAGAGAAGAAGCACCGGCUAACUACGUG
rnacentral:rRNA from 1 species